rnacentral:rRNA from 1 species
UGGGGAAUUUUGGACAAUGGGCGAAAGCCUGAUCCAGCCAUGCCGCGUGCGGGAAGAAGGCCUUCGGGUUGUAAACCGCUUUUGUCAGGGAAGAAAAGCGUCGUUCUAAUAAAGCGACGUCAUGACGGUACCUGAAGAAUAAGCACCGGCUAACUACGUGCCAGCAGCCGCGGUAAUACGUAGGGUGCAAGCGUUAAUCGGAAUUACUGGGCGUAAAGCGUGCGCAGGCGGCUUUGCAAGACAGAUGUGAAAUCCCCGGGCUUAACCUGGGAACUGCAUUUGUGACUGCAUGGCUCGAGUGCGGCAGAGGGGGAUGGAAUUCCGCGUGUAGCAGUGAAAUGCGUAGAUAUGCGGAGGAACACCGAUGGCGAAGGCAAUCCCCUGGGCCUGCACUGACGCUCAUGCACGAAAGCGUGGGGAGCAAACA